rnacentral:rRNA from 1 species
UACAGAGGGUGCAAGCGUUGUUCGGAAUUAUUGGGCGUAAAGCGCGUGUAGGCGGCUUGGCAAGUCGGGUGUGAAAUCCCUCAGCUUAACUGAGGAAGUGCGCCCGAAACUGCCGAGCUUGAGUACCGGAGAGGGUGGCGGAAUUCCCCAAGUAGAGGUGAAAUUCGUAGAUAUGGGGAGGAACACCGGUGGCGAAGGCGGCCACCUGGACGGAUACUGACGCUGAGACGCGAAGGCGUGGGGAGCAAACAGG